GGUGCUGCAUGGCUGUCGUCAGCUCGUGUCGUGAGAUGUUGGUUAAGUCCCGUAACGAGCGCAACCCUUGUCCUUAGUUACCAGCACGUUAUGGUGGGCACUCUAAGGAGACUGCCGGUGACAAACCGGAGGAAGGUGGGGAGUGACGUCAAGUCAUCAUGGCCCUUACGGCCUGGGCGUACACACGUGCUACAAUGGUCGGUACAAAGGGUUGCCAAGCCGCGAGGUGGAGCUAAUCCCAUAAAACCGAUCGUAGUCCGGAUCGCAGUCUGCAACUCGACUGCGUGAAGUCGGAAUCGCUAGUAAUCGUGAAUCAGAAUGUCACGGUGAAUACGUUCCCGGGCCUU
rnacentral:rRNA from 1 species